rnacentral:misc_RNA from 1 species
GCAGCGCCUGUGGGGCUGCGCGGAAGUCCGUUUUCCUCACCUGCCUCGGACCUCCGCUUUCUCGUUCUGCCUCACCUCCCCCUCUCUUCGCCGCCGUUUCGGCUGCCGCCACGAUGAAUGGCACUCGGCGGUUCUCGGCGGCACCGGUGAACUUCGACCGCUUCAUCGCGCUCACCCGCUCGUACUCUCGCAGUUUGUCUCCUGACAGAGAGCUUGAUCAAAUGCUGCGGCCGUUCCAGGGCCGGGCAACGGCAUCGACGAGCGCUGCCACUCGCGAGUCUACAGCCAGUAGAGUGGCGACUCCGCAAGCGCGCCAUCAGCAGAUGCGCAAGGGUGAGCUCAUCUACAAGGAGUUUGUUUCGACGGAGGCGCGAGACGGGAAGCCGUACUGCGGGACCGCCCAGUCCGUUUCCAUGACGCAGAGCAUGACGGCGGCCAAUACAGUUUCCUCCGCUCGUGCCGCCACAUCAACGCCGCGCAGUGUCUCCGGCGGCGCCGCCGCGUCGACCUCUGCUGUUUCGACAGGCUUCUCUUACCUCGUCCUCGACGGCUGCUCGUUUGGGGAGGAGACACAGGAGCUGAGGCCGGGCUCGUACUCUGCAGACGAAGUGGACCCCCUCCUUCAAGCGGCCAUGCAGCUGGGCAGCCCCCUCUACGACCCUGUCAAGCGGCAGUUUGUGUGCUGGCAGCUACACGUUCUCGAGAAGCGUCCACGCGCUGCCUACGGCGAUGUGGAAGGCGUCAGUUGCGACUUCUGCGGCCACACCGAUUGGCUCGAUGGAUUGGCCGAGCGAGCGACGACCUCUCCUUCAGCGAGCGGAACGGUGGUGAAUGAUGAAGGGAAAAAGGAUGCCACGGCGCCCUCAGCAGCAGCAUCUUUCACUGCGCACGCGCGCUUUUUCUACAACUGCUCCGCCUGCCAGGUGGACAUAUGUCAGGCGUGCUUGGAGGAGGUGCGGUCUGAUGAGCGUCUUCACGUGCCAUGCUUUCAGUGUCAGCGCUGCGGAGGCUACGAAACGCGCCAGAAUGCGCCGUUGCAUCGGUGUGCGGAGUUGACCCUGAUCUCAGACGACGACGAAAGGCGCACAGGGGUGCAGGCGUUGCUGACAUCGCCGAGCAGAAACGCGGAUGCUUCACAGGCACUGCCGGCGGCACCCGCGACGACGUCUCCAAAGUGCAGGGGCGUGCCGGCCGGAAGGCCCGUGCGUCUCGGCCUCUGCCGACGAUACCAGCAAGCGGCGAAAGGGGUGGCGGCGCGAGACACAGAGAUCGCUGCCCAUGCCGGGAAGAUCGCCAACUCGGCUCCUCACCGAAAACGCAAGCGAGCUUCUCCGGAAAGAGUCCCCGUGGCAAAGCAGCGACCCGAGAAGACGACCAACGACACCGCAGAGGUGUUUCUUGUCCGUGACGUCACCGACAAGUCAUGCCGGAAAGUGAAGCCAGCGUCUGCGAGCGCUCUGCCGAAACCUGCGCCAGCAAAGCAGGAAGGGGACGACGGAGACGGCGACGCGUCACGAGCCCUUAUGGAGGCUGCAAUUCUCCCCUUCGCGGGAUACGAAGUGCACCUCACCCCUCGCACCGCGGAGGAGGUGGGCGAAGUGGACCGUAUCGCCAGGGAACAGCACCUCGUAUGCUCACCGCUACCGUCGCUGGCGAAGACAUGUGUGUUCAACUUCGCCACGCGCCUCGCUGCCGAGACUUGCGUCGAUCGCGCCACUGCGGCAUCGCUGGACGCCAUCCUGAAGCGGAGGGUGAAACCUGUGUGCCGCACGUGACCUACUUUUUCAGCUCCCUGUUCGACCCUUGUCUAGGUGCCGUGCCGGGCGCACGUGGCGGUGUACUCGGGUGUCGGCGAAAGGUGUGCACCGGUACGUAAGCGUGAGCUUCCAUUUUUUUUUCGCUCGCUGUUGUGUGCCGCCGUCGCGGCUCAUUUGAGCUGGUGAACGGACGCGGUCUCGCGCAUGGUGCAGUGGCGUCGUUUGGCUGUGCUAGUGGGUAUACGCGCCGUCUACGCGCAGGCGAUCGAGAGGAGAAAGGGAACGUGCAUAUCAAGGAAUGAUGUCGCCGCGCUGUGGUUGGCUGUUCGCAAGCCUAGGCCAUCGCUGAUAGCGGCUAUGGAGGGGUCAGAUGGUCACUACGUGGAGCUUAAGUGUGUUUCUGGGAGUGGAGAUGGAGGCGCCACUUCUGAUAAUGCUCGCCUUGGAAACAGAGAGGUGCAUCGGUGAUCCUGCGCAGUUCGCUCUAGAGCGGAUGCCCACUGCCGUUUGUACCCGAAUGCCCUCCCUCUCUUUGCCCCCUUCAGCUGCUCUCAUCUCUCCUCAUUUUUCUGCCUGUGCCUCUCGCGGUAUCCCUCUCUCACUGCCUCUAUCUGGAACUGAGGGUGUGCUGACGCCGCAACGCUUGUCUCAUGUCUGUGUGUGCGUGUGUGCCCGCAUUUGACGUUUUCUCUUUUCAUUUUCUCAAG